rnacentral:rRNA from 1 species
UGCGUAGACGGUUAUUUAAGUCGGGUGUGAAAGCCCCGGGCUCAACCUGGGAAUUGCAUUCGAGACUGAAUAGCUAGGGUACGGUAGAGGGAAGUGGAAUUUCCGGUGUAGCGGUGAAAUGCGUAGAUAUCGGAAGGAACAUCAGUGGCGAAAGCGACUUCCUGGACCAGUACCGACGUUCAGGCACGAAAGCGUGGGGAGCAAACA